rnacentral:rRNA from 1 species
UACGUAGGGGGCAAGCGUUGUCCGGAAUCAUUGGGCGUAAAGCGCAUGUAGGCGGUUCGAUAAGUCUGCUGUGAAAGUCCAGGGCUCAACCCUGGAAAGCCGGUGGAUACUGUCGGACUAGAGUGCGGAAGAGGCGAGUGGAAUUCCCGGUGUAGCGGUGAAAUGCGCAGAUAUCGGGAGGAACACCAAUUGCGAAGGCAGCUCGCUGGGACGUUACUGACGCUGAGACGCGAAAGCGUGGGGAGCAAACAGG